rnacentral:sRNA from 1 species
GCGGUGGCGUGUGUCUGGAGUCCCAGCUACUUGGGAGGCUGUGAUGGGAGGAUUGCUUGAGGCCAGGAGUUCCAGAGCAGCCUGGGCAACACAGCAAUACCCCACCUCAA